GACGAACGCUGGCGGCGUGCCUAAUACAUGCAAGUCGAACGAACCGCGACUAGGUGCUUGCCCUUGGUCAAGGUGAGUGGCGAACGGGUGAGUAACACGUGGGUAACCUACCUCAUAGUGGGGGAUAACAGUCGGAAACGACUGCUAAUACCGCAUAGGACAUAGGAUCACAUGAUCCAGUGAGGAAAGGUGGCGCAAGCUAUCGCUAAGAGAUGGACCCGCGGUGCAUUAGCUAGUUGGUAGGGUAAAGGCCUACCAAGGCGAUGAUGCAUAGCCGACCUGAGAGGGUGAUCGGCCACAUUGGGACUGAGACACGGCCCAAACUCCUACGGGAGGCAGCAGUAGGGAAUCUUCCGCAAUGGACGCAAGUCUGACGGAGCAACGCCGCGUGAGUGAAGAAGGUCUUCGGAUCGUAAAGCUCUGUUGUUAGAGAAGAACAGCGCAUAGAGUAACUGUUAUGCGUGUGACGGUAGCUAACCAGAAAGCCACGGCUAACUACGUG
rnacentral:rRNA from 1 species